UACGUAGGUGGCAAGCGUUGUCCGGAUUUACUGGGUGUAAAGGGCGUGCAGCCGGAGAGACAAGUCAGAUGUGAAAUCCACGGGCUCAACCCGUGAACUGCAUUUGAAACUGUUUCCCUUGAGUGUCGGAGAGGUAAUCGGAAUUCCUUGUGUAGCGGUGAAAUGCGUAGAUAUAAGGAAGAACACCAGUGGCGAAGGCGGCUUACUGGACGGCAACUGACGCUGAGGCUCGAAAGCGUGGGGAGCAAACAGG
rnacentral:rRNA from 1 species